UCGAACCUGACAAAUACUGUGGUUGAAAUUAUACAACAUUUGAUGUAAAAAUCAGUCAUCAAUUUAUUUUUGAACUGAACUGAAGAUCGAUAGGUAUGCUAAAAUGGUAAGUACAAUUGUACUAUAUAUUUCAGAUCAAAAUUAUUUAGCAAACGUCUUACACUAGCUAGGAGUCUUGCAGUUAGUAUUCAUUUGUUUGAUGUGUUUGAGUUUUUGAUUUUACCAUUUGAUUAGGGACUUUCCGUUUUGAAUUGUUCUUGGAGUCUGUAUUUUUGAGACAUAACUUCUUAUAGAUUAACUUUUUUAUAUGCACAGACAGUUUUGCGGCAAAUUUUUAUCCAGAAAAAAAAAAACAAGCAUUCGUUGUUUAAUGGUCCGUUUUAAAAAUGCUUUAAUUAUUCCUAAAUUUAGUAAUAAUCAAAACAAAAACAAUACUUCUACUAACAAUAAUAAAUAUUUGAGUAUAUGCUUAUGUAAUCCUUAAUUGAUUUUUCUUAUUCAAUCUUAAAGGAGGUUUGCAGUUCAAGUGCAUUUGUUUUUCAGUUUUUUUUUUUAGUUGCCGUUGGGGGGAUUGAUAUGUUUAAACAACAUCUGUUUUUGGAAAGAUUGGAACUUGUUCUAAAUCUUUCCUUGGGCACCGGCAACGUGACAGGUUAGCUACUAAAUUUAUGUGUUCACACUGAAAUAUAGUUCCUUUUAGUUCUCGUGUAUGUGCACAUAAUACACAUAUAAACUGCAAACAAAAUGAGUAUAUUUUUGGAGCAGUUCAUUCCAAGUCAGGAAUAUGACAGUUCUUGUCCAUUCGUUUUUGAUGCGUUUUGUUAUUUGAUUUUGCCAUGUGAUUAUGACUUUCGAAUUGUUUCCUCUGAGUUCAGUAUUUUUGUGAUUUUACUUUUUUCAAGAAUGUAUCUCAUUAAGAUAUGUUGAUGACCAGGCUAUUUUGAUUAUACAAAUUGAAUACUAGUAUGAUUGACAACUGUCAUAAUCACAGAACAAUCAGAUACCAGGUGGACCUUUAAAUACAAUGCCUCACCUCCUAAACUGCCAAUCAAAUUGACCACAUUACCUAUCAACCUCAGUCUAACAUAAUUAUACAAGACCAUUCAAUAUACAUCUAAUUCUUAAUACACAAGUAUUUGACCUCAUAAUUGAAUACACAAAUGUGUAUAUUAAAUGUUUGAUAUGUAAGGAGGAUUUAUCCAUUGCCAAUUACUUUUGAUCUAUACUACAUAAAGUGAUUCUAUAAAUUAUGUUUGAAAGAUAAAUGAUUAAUUAAGGAAUAACAAGAUCUUUAAAAAAAAUAUAAGAAUAAAUAUGAAUAUUUAAAAGGUCUUCAGGUAAGGCCUAUAAUUUACAUGAUAAAUUUCCGAUAAUCUCUGUAAUUAAUAAAAAAUUUAGGUUAGUUCACUUAUUUUUUUUUAUAAGUAAUUGGCUUGAAACAGAUAGUAAAAUUUUAAAACUUUUAAAUAUAACAAACCUUUUUUUUAGUUUAUUCCCCAUUAAACAUUUUUUUUUGUCAAAUAUCUAUUCACAAUUUUAGGCAUUUGAGUAUUUUUAAGAAGUGAAUAUAUAUUUUUGCCAUCAAGAAAGAAUCCACAUUUCAAAAAAAGAAGUACAUUUCCAAUGCCCUGUGAUAAAAAAUACUUUAUAAAUAGAUCAAAAGGCUCUCUACAACUUUUAGUCUUCAAUGUCAUAUAACCUUUGUUUCAACUUAGAAAAUGCCCCAAACAACUUAUUUAAAUUAUUUUUGUUCACAAUUUAAAGUUCUUAGCUUCAAGUUUAUCUGUUGGUCUUUAAUAUGCCCUAAAAAGUUAUAGUUGGUAAAAUUUACUAGUUGAAUUUUUUGUUUGCAUUUUUUUUAAACAUGUUCGAAACAGGGAACAUGUUUGCUUAAGAUAUAAACUGCAGUUUAAAAAAAAUAUGCAAAUUAAGAGUUAAAUUGUGCUCAUUUUAUCUUCAUACUGGAAAAGCACUUUUACUUAUAAAGGCCUACAGUUAAGGCAAUUGUCAGAAAUAGUGCUUUAUUAAUGUUCUUGUUUGUCCACGCCAUACCGAUAUGAAAUUAUUUAAACUACUCUUCCAAUCUUUCCAUGAGUGACUUCCAUCAGUUUGAUUUUUUUUUUAGAAAUAAGAGAUGUUAAGCGAUUUAAUUUUAUGCGAAUGAAAUGCAAGAGAGGUUUAGCUAGCUGAAACAGGUUUAAUCAACAAAUCAUGCUUUAUACAUACAAAAAUGUCUGUACCAAGACAGGAAUAUGACAGUUGUUAUCCAUUCGUUUAAUGUGUUUUAGUUUUUAAUUUUGCCAUUUCAUUUUAACUUUCCUUUUUGUAUUUUUCUCGGAGUUCGGUAUUUUUGUUAUAUAACUUUUUAUAGAUUAACUUUUUUUUAAAUUCAUGUUUUUAAAGUAGCAUUUUUUUAAUAAUACUUUAAUUUAAAAUUUUCCUAAAUUUAGUAAAAAUCAAAACAAAAACAACUAUACGUCUUCUGAUACGUCUACUAUAUAUUAGUUAUAAUUAUUUGAGUAUAACCUUAUGUACUCCUCAAUUGUUUUUAGUUAAUCUUAAAGGAAGUUUGCAAUGAAAGUGCAUUUUAUCUUCAGUUUGGAUUUGAUGCUUUUUGGGGAAGAAUUUAUCAUAUAAAAAAGUUAAUCUAUAAGAAGUUAAAUAACAAGAAUUGCAUAACGUGUUUUUUUCAAUAAACAAUUGACAUUGUCAUCGGAACUUGAGUGCUCCUCUGCUUGUCAACUUGUUCCUUUAUUCAUAUGGGGCUUACUUCAUGCAGCAGAAGUAGGAAUGAAAAGAGGCUUUCAUUUUUCUUUAUUUUAACUUCUUGCUGUAUAGAAGAUGUCCUUUCACUAAAUAAUUCAAUCUAAUGUGAUUUUGUUGUACACAUCUAUCCAAUGAAAUGUAUACAUAUUAAAAGGAUACAUUAAAUACAAAUUAAACGGCCUCAUGUCUUAACUUUCAUCCAGAAAUUGACAAUGUGGGUCGUAUAAGAACCAAACUUUGCGACACGACAUGAUUUCUGUUUCAAAAUACGUUGACCGAUUCCUUUCACGGAUUUGGCUAUACUUUUUGGACCUUUUGGAUUAUAGCUCUUCAUCUUUUAUAUAAGCUUUGGAUUUAAAAUAUUUUGGCCACGAGCAUCACUGAAGAGACAUGUAUUGUCGAAAUGCGCAUCUGGUGCAAGAAAAUUGGUACCGUUUAUUUUAUUACUACCACUGGGUCGAUGCCUCUGCUGGUGGACUAUUAGUCCCCGAGGGUAUCACCAGCCCAGUAGCCAGUACUUCGGUAUACUGGCAUGAAAAUACGGAUGUUUUGUGUUAUUAAAAUUUGCUGUCACAAAAUGAUAGAAAUUAUUAUAAAUUAAGGAAUGUAUCUCCCUCAUGCAAAGCUCUGAUUCCUUUCACGGAUUUGGCUAUACUUUUUGGACCUUUGGAUUAUAGCUCUUCAUCUUUUAUAUAAGCUUGGAUUUCAAAUAUUUUGGCCACGAGCAUCACUGAAGAGACAUGUAUUGUCGAAAUGCGCAUCUGGUGCAAGAAAAUUGGUACCGUUUAUUUUAUUAUGGAAUAUCUACUUCACAGAUGAAUAUAUUCCAAUCGUUGUAACCACAAUCUUGCAUUUCGGUGGGGGUCGUAUUGAACCGUUUGUAGUUUUCUACGUUGUUUUUUGUAUACUGUUGGUUGUCAUUUCGUAUUUUCCUUCAAUUCCCGUAGCGUUCUAUGCUUUUUAAAAUUUUAAGUUUGAAUGUCCGUUUUGAGUCUCUGACAGACUUGGGGUCAAUUACAUUGGAAUGUAAUUAAUUAAAUUACACAUUACAUUGCAAAAAUGAUCAAUUACAUCAAUUACAAAUUACACUGUUUUUGAAAUGUAAUUAAUUAAAUUACAAUUACAUACUAAAGUAAUUAUUUAAAUUACACAUUACAUUUCGUCAUAGUAUUUUUUAAUAAUAUUAUACAUGUAGAAAUAAUGCAAGUGUAAAAUAUUCAUGUAAGCAUAGUUUAAGCUUUGCAUUUGAUAAUCAUUAGCUAUUUUAAUGUUUUGUCAUUUAGUAUGAAUAUCUCUGGUCUGAACACUUUGACAUCAGUUCUAAAUAGCUUUUUGACAGGAGCUAAUGUGGCAGAUAUUUGGGGAAUUGGUUCCUAUUAACUUGUCAAUAUUUCAAGGGGUAUUUUGACAUCCCAGAAAUGAAGUCAUUUAAAUUAAACAUAAUAUAAAUAAAUAUAUUAUACAUAAAUCAUAAAUAUUUGUUUUUACAUUAAAAAUAUCAAAAAGUGUGCUUGUCACAAUAUUGAAAAUAAUUUUUAGUACAAAUAAUGUAUGUAUAAUGUCUAAAUAUUAGCAAUAUUUUGCUAAUUGGAUAAUAAUACAUGUAACAGUGGCAUUGCCCCUGGACAUUUUAAUUUGAUUAAUUGCUGUUUGUUUUUACAGCUGUUAGUUUUUAUUUCUAUACUCCUUUUGUGUAUACUAAUUUGACAAAAUGAUUGUGUGCAGUGAUUUUAAAUUCUAAAUGAACUGUCUAAGAAAGAUUUUUCACAGUGACACUUUUUAUUUUGUUUUUGUUAAACAAGGUGAUUAAUUACUUAUCAAUCUAUUUAGUUAAAAGAUCUUUCUUAAAAACUGAACACUAAUAUAUGAUUCUCACAUUUUUAAAAUUUAUAAUUAAAUAAUAAUUAUUAAAAAAAAAAUCUGUAGGUCAAAUAAAUAUUAAUAUGCAUUGUAACUUCAGUAUAAAUUAUAGACUUCAUAUAUUAAAAAAAGUAUGUAAUGUCAAUAUUUGAAAAACAAGUAUUAUUUUACAAUUUAUAUUAUUAAACACAAAUCCUUAUCUUUAACACAAUAAAAGUAUAUGUAAUUGAAAUGUAAUUCAAAAGUAAUUGAGCAUUACAUGCUUUUUUCAAUGUAAUUAAUUAAAUUACCAUUACAUGUAAUUAAAAAAAUGCUCAAUUACACAUUAUAUUCAAUUACAUGGAAAACUGUAAUGCAUUACACUUAAUUAUCAUUACAUUUUCAAUUACCCCAUCCCUGGUCUCUGAGAUAGCUUUUACUUUUCUUCAUUGGUAUAGGGGGAGGGUUGAGAUCCGAGUCACAAACAUGUUUAACCCCGCCGCAUUUUUGCGCCUGUCCCAUGUCAGGAGCCUCUAGCCUUUGUUAGUCAUGUAUUAUUUUAACUUUUUGUUUCUUGUGUAUAAUUUGGAGUUUAGCAUGGUGUUCAUUAUCACUGAACCAGUAUAUAUUUGUUUAGGGGCCAGCUGAAGGACGCCUCCGGGUGCGAGAAUUUCUCGUUGUAUUGAAGACCUGUUUGUGAACUUCUGCUGUUGUCUGCUCUAUGGUCGGGUUGUUGUCUCUUUGACACAUUCCCCGUUUCCAUUCUCAAUUUUAUUUGUAUUUUUUUUGGUCCCAUGACAGCUAAUCGAUCUAAUAAUCUAUUUUUAUUUAAUUUUAGAAGACUAUUACCAUAAUGUUUGUAGCUGUUAUUAGCCUCUCUAUGAUGGUAUCAGGAAGAACGAUCUCAAUUCGACACCGUAGGGAAUGUGACUCGUGCAAUAUGCGCUUUAAUCGAAACUGUAUCAACCGACCAUGUCCAUACGCAUCUUUCAUUGACCGAUCUUCCAUCUUCAGAUCGAUCUGUGUCACAGAUUGCGCCAGUCGAUGGAGCCAGUGUGAUGUACAUUGUAAACGUUGGACAAAAUAAUAUCUUGUUUUCUAAUUAUUGUGGGCAUCACUGAAUGCACUACACUUUUCAGACUACUGUAAUGUGCAUUAUAAAAGGCGAAAAAAAAAUUGCAUUUUAUCUCCGAAUUUUUGUGUGGAACCAUUGAUCACCAGAAUUAUCAAACACUGUGAUGUGCAUGGUUAAUAUUUGACAACACAUUUAAGGUUCAUAUUGUUUCGUUAUAUGUGUUAUUACUGCAUGUGUAAACCCGCAUAUGAUUACAAAUUCAGAGGUUUGAGGAGAUGUGUGAAAUCAUUCAGUUUGCAUUCAAUUCAACUAUUAAUGACAACACUUAGAACAACGUUACUUUUACAACAUGAGAACAUUCUUCAUAUCUCUUAUUUCAUAUUUGCCACUAUACUCAACGUUUAUCUUUUCUAUUGGUUGAAUGUACGUGAAAAUGCAAGAAUUGUUACAACAUUUGAAUUUAUCUUAUAUGUAAUGUAUAAAUUUAAAUCAACC
rnacentral:lncRNA from 1 species